rnacentral:tRNA from 1 species
UGGCCCAUGGUGUAACGGUAGCACAGCAGACUUUGGUUCUGCUUGUCUUGGUUCGAAUCCAAGUGGGCCAG